rnacentral:rRNA from 1 species
AGAGUUUGAUCAUGGCUCAGGAUGAACGCUGGCGGUAUGCUUUACACAUGCAAGUCGUACGAGAGUUUUUAACUCAAGUGGCGGACGGGUGAGGAACGCGUGAGAAUUUACCUUUAGGAGGGGGAUAACAACUGGAAACGGUUGCUAAUACCCCAUAUGCUUUCGAGUAAAAUAGAAUUUCUGCCUAAAGAAAAGCUCGCGUCUGAUUAGCUUGUUGGUGAGGUAAUGGCUCACCAAGGCGACGAUCAGUAUCUGGUUUGAGAGGAUGAUCAGACACACUGGAACUGAGACACGGUCCAGACUCCUACGGGAGGCAGCAGUGGGGAAUUUUCCGCAAUGGGCGAAAGCCUGACGGAGCAAUACCGCGUGAGGGAUGACGGCCUAUGGGUUGUAAACCUCUUUUUUCAGGGAGGAAUCAAUGACGUGUACCUGAAGAAUAAGCAUCGGCUAACUCCGUGCCAGCAGCCGCGGUAAGACGGAGGAUGCAAGUGUUAUCCGGAAUCACUGGGCGUAAAGCGUCUGUAGGUUGUUCAAUAAGUCAACUGUUAAAUCUUGAGGCUCAACUUCAAAAUCGCAGUCGAAACUGUUAGACUAGAGUAUAGUAGGGGUAAAGGGAAUUUCCAGUGGAGCGGUGAAAUGCGUAGAUAUUGGAAAGAACACCAAUGGCGAAAGCACUUUACUGGGCUAUUACUGACACUGAGAGACGAAAGCGUGGGGAGCAAAUGGGAUUAGAUACCCCAGUAGUCUUAGCCGUAAACGAUGGAUACUAGAUGUUGGACAGAUCGACCUGGGCAGUAUCAAAGCUAACGCGUUAAGUAUCCCGCCU